rnacentral:rRNA from 1 species
UACGUAGGGUGCGAGCGUUGUCCGGAAUUACUGGGCGUAAAGAGCUCGUAGGCGGUCUGUCGCGUCGGCUGUGAAAACCCGGGGCUCAACCCCGGGCCUGCAGUCGAUACGGGCAGACUAGAGUGCGGUAGGGGAGACUGGAAUUCCUGGUGUAGCGGUGAAAUGCGCAGAUAUCAGGAAGAACACCCGUGGCUAAGGCGGCUCUCUAGUACGGUACUGACGCUGAGACGCGAAAGCGUGGGGAGCGAACAGG